AUCAUAUUCAGUGUUUUACAUGCAAAGGAGAAAAAUAUGGCUAAAACUAUUAAGUUUAUUUAUUGCAUAAUUCUUUACCUUUUCUUGUUCCCCGUCGUAGUGAAAAUUGGAAGUGCAUAUAGUUGUGAAGUUGAUGAAGAUUGUCCACGAAGUGCGAACGUGUUUUAUGUUAUCAAGUGCAUUGGUAACAUGUGUGAACGAAGUACAAAACAUUUCUGAUUCUACGAGUACUAGACCUGGGAGAGUACAAAAUGUGUGAUAGAAUAUUUCUAAAGCUUUCGAUUAGUUUUUGUAAUGACACUUAAUAAUUGUUUUUUAAUUUUCCUAUUUCCAUAAACCCUUUGUAUUAUGAUUUUCUACUCUAAGAUAAUGACCCAAAAACAAAGAGUUUGUUUGUUUUUA